rnacentral:rRNA from 1 species
AUUGAACGCUGGCGGCAGGCCUAACACAUGCAAGUCGAGCGAGUGGCGGACGGGUGAGUAAUGUAUGGGGACUGCCCGAUAGAGGGGGAUAACUACUGGAAACGGUGGCUAAUACCGCAUACUAUCGGAUAACCCAUAUGGGAUUAGCUAGUAGGUGGGGUAAAGGCUCACCAAGGCGACGAUCUCUAGCUGGUCUGAGAGGAUGAUCAGCCACACUGGGACUGAGACACGGCCCAGACUCCUACGGAGGCAGCAGUGGGGAAUAUUGCACAAUGGGGGCAAGCCUGAUGCAGCCAUGCCGCAUGAAUGAAGAAGGCCUUAGGGUUGUAAAGUACUUUCGGCAGGGAGGCGUUACCUACAGAAGAAGCACCGGCUAACUCCGUGCCAGCAGCCGCGGUAAUUC